CUCAGGAAAAUGAAAGGAAAGGUCUGUUGGAUAAAUUAUCGGCCAUCCAGGAAGUGGGUGUAGCUGUUCAGAAUGGUCUGAAUGAGGUUGCUAGCCUUUAUGAAAGAGUAAAAAAUACCUUCAACUGGACAGUUCCUUUCCUGAGUUGGUUGGCUGUUUUUGUUCUCUCUGCUGGCACCAUAAUCCUUUAUUUUGUUCCUCUAAGAUACAUUCUUCUUGUCUGGGGUAUCCAUAAAUUCACCAAGAAACUUCGUAAUCCAUUACUCAUUGACAAUAAUGAACUGCUAGACUUCCUCUCCAGAGUUCACUCGGAUGUGCAAGUGGUGCACUUCCAUGAAUUGAGUCAAGAAUCUAGUCAGGGACUGAUGACUUUUAAGAAGAAAACCAACUCAGGAUAACCAUUCCUCUCAACCAGAGUUAUUCAUCUGCUUUCUGAAGAUUAGAAAGGGAUCACUGCCAUAGUACUAUUUCCUUUCUUUGCUCAUUUAUCUUGAUUUUUACAAUGAACUGUAGCAUCUGUAAAUGUUGUACAGUAUUGAACACUGUAUUUGAAAAUGCACAUACUGCUUAUUACUGUAUAGAACACUUAUGUUAAAAUUUUUAAAAUUAUGUUCUCAUGAUAUUAAAGCUUUGCAAAACGUACCUAAUGCCUGGAUCUUUAUAAAUAGUAUAAAACAGAGAUGGUAAAUAUUUACAAACUGUCCAGUGGCAAUCAUCCCGUCAUUCAAAAGAUAUUGCAGCAUUACACAUUUUGACUGUUUUUAAUGUAUGUUUUCUUGUAAACAAUCACUACAGUUCAUAUUCUAAUGACAGACCCCUGCAAUAAAAUUAUGUGUUAUUACUAACAAUGUACAUAUUUUCUCCUUUUCAUCUUUUCUCAACAAAAUGCUAUAUUAGAAAUUAAAUGACUAUUGCAAAGUAUUUUUUCUGAUCAAUUUCCCAUGAAUAUCCAUUCCUGUCACCUUCUGCAAUUGUAAUUUGCCUUUAGGUUAUUCUGUUAUAUUAAAAGUAUCAUAUAAGUGAAGGUUAUUGCAGGCACAAGCAGUGUUUUGGAUCUGGGAUUACCUGACAAGUCAAGUUCUUCUGAUCAGCCAACAUAAGUAUUGGAAACUAUGGGAACGUUCUGCCAAAAAAAAGUUUCCUUAUUUUUGCUGCGCAUUAGGGUGCUGUAGGAGCAUAGGCAACACCAAAACCCCAUUAGUGAAUAUGAAAACUGCAUGCAUCCAAUGUCCUAUCACUAAACAGUCUUAGCCUAAUCUCAUUAGUACAAGGAAGUAAAAUAUUCUCUCAAUUGCCACAUGUGAUUCUAAACUCUAAAUCAGUAGGUGGCACGGCCGCUAAGGUGGGUUAAUAGACCAAUCAUGCUAAACACUAGUGUACCCAGUAAACUGUGCAGUAAUCCAAAUGGGCGACACAUUCAAUGAAAAAGCCCCAGCUAAAAGAAAGGUUAGUGAGAACAUGCAUUUCAUACAAAUUACAUUGUAAGUUAUUUUUCUUCUUAAUUAUGUACUUAUUUGUUCUAAUAAAAAGAAGAAAUAACCCGCA